UCUGGGACUCGCUGGGGGCCUUCCUCGAGGUAAGUAGAUUCAUCUUCCUUUCUUCCUUUCGCUUCUUCAUUUAAUUAACUUCUCAGCUUCCAUUCUGACCUUUCGAUCAUCCUUGCAGCUCGGACACCAACUCCUCGCCAACAUCGAGACGACAAACAAGGCGGUGGAAGGUCAGCAGGCCAAGGCUGCCCGCCUUAAGGAAAUGGCCCUC
rnacentral:lncRNA from 1 species